GCGAACCCACUUGGGCAGGGCUUCGCUGCCAGGCAGGGCUGCCCACACACCGAGCUCUUACUGAACAGCCCAGCAGUGAGUGAGAGAGGCUGUGGCACAGGCACCACAGAAGGUGCCAGGUGCUCUGAUGACCACACAUGAGGCCCAUUAUGCUGGAUUAAUUAAUGCAGAAGGUCAGUGUAGGACACUAAGUGUUGAUGGGGAGGACCUGUGAUGUCCUGGGCCCUGCCCGGGCCAGGGGAGGCUCCAAGGAGUGGCUCAUCAAGUGGCACAGAAAUGCUGAAGUGAUACACACUGACAAUUUGGACACUUUUUCAAGUUGAGAAAUUAAUCAAAACCAACAUUUUCCUGCAAAGGUUUCAUUUUCAACCAAGCAGGCCUCUUCUGAUUAAAGAAGUUGCAUAAAAAUUCUUAUUCAUCUCUGCGCAGGAGCACUGCUGUAGCUGUUGGGGACUAAGGGACAGAGGUAUUACCACCACCCACUUCAUACCCUGCACUAAGUGGAUGUUGGAGCAGAAGCUUUUGUCUGCAAGAGGAGCAAGCACAAGUUGCUUAUUUGCAUCAAGAGUGUAGCUUAAAGUAACGAAGGAACGGACAAGGAUCAAAGGGUCAAGAACGAAGAUGAUAAAAAGUAUCCAAGAUGGACAUCUGAAAGAGACUCACACAGUAGGCCUCAAGGACUAAAAAUUACCUAAAACUAUGGAAAGGAAAGUACCUGGCAACUAAAAGCGAGCUUGCAAAAGAACCAACCAGAACCAGGCUUGCGAACUCGUAUCCAAUAGAAGGAUAACAAGUGACUAUGGGAAGGGAACUGACAAUAGUAUAAAGAAUACUGGUUUUGCCCACUGCUUUGCUGGCCGUGUGUGGAGCAGGGGUCUCCCCGGCAGCCCAGUGCGCUGUUUUGCUUAUUUGCAAUUUAUAUAAAUCUUUAAUAAAUUUUGC